AUUUUAUUAGGUGCCACCUGUACCUAACAAAGUGGCUACUGAGUGUAUGUUCGUGGCCUUCUGCUGCUGUAGUCCAUCCACUUCAAGGUUUGAGGUGUUUUGUGUUCAGAGAUGACCUUCGGCACACCACUGUGGACAGGAAUGAAGGUAACAGUUGAAGGAUGAAAUCUCAAUUGAAACUCUGGAUUGAGUUCUUCAGCUACCGGAUUAGGUAGUCCAAUCCCAUAUCAAAAUUGACUUGGACUCCUGAUGCAUCAAUAACUCUCGGAGAUGUGAGAUGUUGGUUCGAAUGUGAAAUGCAUACGAUGAACAAGUGGUAGAGGUAGAUACUCUCAAAGUAUCUAGGUAACACUUGAAUCAAAAAGAAAGCUACAUAGCAGGUGUUGGGGUGAAUGUGCAAGGAAUAAAAAUGUAAAGGAGGCGAAUUUCUGCUAAUGGCAAGCCAAGAUGCUGCACUCCUGUGCGUUCAGUUCAGACAUGUCUUCUGUGGAUCUACUGUAACGAACCUGCUCACAGAAGUCAAACUAAUUGCAACUAACAAUUCCCAAUCCAGUGUGGACAUAACUUUUCAGUUUCCAGUCACAUGCAUCAAUCAUUUACUACAAGGGUGAAGACAUAUCACAAUGCUAUUACAGCUAGGGGUGUCGGAGUUUGGAGUUCAAUUCUGGCUUCUUCUGUGAAGAGUCUCUCUACACCUGCCCUGUGGAAUUUGUGGGUUUCCUGCUACUGUCCAAAGAUGUACUGGGUAGGUUAAUUGGUCAUUGUAAGUGGUCCUGUGGUGAACUAUGUGCCUGUCGGGACACGCCCCUGCUGACUGCUCCUGUGGCUCCUCCCACAGGCCCCUGUAUAAAGGAGAUCUGCGGCCUGACGCUCGGCCUCAGUCUCCAGGACAUUGUAUGAUAGACACUCACUCCUGGUUCCUUCUUC